rnacentral:rRNA from 1 species
CCAAUAGCGUAUAUUAAAGUUGUUGCAGUUAAAAAGCUCGUAGUUGAAUUUCGGGAUCAGUACGUCGGUCGUGCCUUCGGUAUGUACUGGUGUCACUGGUUCCUCCCUUCUGACGAACCGUCAUGCCAUUCACUUGGUGUGGCGGGAAAUCAGGACUGUUACUUUGAAAAAAUUAGAGUGUUUAAAGCAGGCUCACGCUUGAAUACAUUAGCAUGGAAUAAUGAAAUAGGACGUUGAUUCUAUUUUGUUGGUUUCUAGGAUCGACGUAAUGAUUAAUAGGGAUAGUUGGGGGCAUUAGUAUUCAAUUGUCAGAGGUGAAAUUCUUGGACUUAUUGAAGACUAACUACUGCGAAAGCAUUUGCCAAGGAUGUUUUCAUUAAUCAAGAACGAGAGUUAGGGGAUCGAAGACGAUCAGAUACCGUCGUAGUCUUAACCAUAAACUAUGCCGACUAGGGAUCGGAUGAUGUUAAUUUUUUAAUGACUCAUUCGGCGCCUUACG